rnacentral:tRNA from 1 species
GGAUUGUGGCUCAGCGGUAGAGCGCUCGCCUUGCAUGCGCGGGACCCGGGUUUGAUUCUCAGUACCA